UGCCAGCCGCUGCGGUAAUACGGAGGGGGCUAGCGUUGUUCGGAAUUUCUGGGCGUAAAGCGCACGUAGGCGGACUAUUAAGUCAGGGGUGAAAUCCCGGGGCUCAACCCCGGAACUGCCUCUGAUACUGUUUAUCUAGAGUCCGAGAGAGGUUAGUGGAAUUCCCAGUGUAAAGGUGAAAUUCGUAGAUAUUCGGAGGAACACCAGUGGCGGAGGCGGCUCACUGGCUCGGUACUGACGCUGAGGUGCGAAAGCGUGGGGAGCAAACAGGAUUAGAUA
rnacentral:rRNA from 1 species